GUUGCGUCCUGGGUUGCAAUUCUCUGCUAUUCCCAGAUAAACCAGUAUUUGCUGGCAAAGUAACUGGCCAUUUUAUUUUUUUUAAGGCUAACAAUGGAUCUAAUCAACAAGGCUUGGAUGCAAACCUGUAAAACGCAAUAGAAACUCAAAAUAAUGAAAAAAGUAUAUUUCAAAUGGAUAAAACAACCAUCAAGAAAAAGAAAAACUAACCUAUGCUGAUGAGGGAAACAAAAGCAAGAGAAAUGUAGCUUAAAUUAAAAUCGCCUUCCAGCUGGCCCUCCACCGACAGACCCCGGAAACAUGCGGAGGGUGAGCUUCCUCAAGGAACUCAUGGGUGCUUCGGUGCCUUAAAGUUUGUUUUAUUAAAGACUACAGGUAACCUUAUCUUAACAGCAGCUAGCCCCUCAAGGUCCCGAAAGCCUUGCUUCCAAAUUCCGUAGACAGUACACUGUCCGUAACCCCCACGAAUUAAAAAGUAUUUCGUCCUUCACCCCUCACAAUCCCAGAGCAGCUCUUUCCCUGCCCACGCACGAGUCCUGCCCCGGCUAUAAUCACAAUCACCUUUUUUUGCCCCGAAAAACUGUCUCAAGAAUUCUUUCAUGGCCAUUCGCUCACGAACCCCUCUGCAAAUUUCAUCAUUGUUGUGCCCUUACGUGGGGCUGUGCAUCCUUUCAUGGGACUCUGAGCCUCGGUGCAAAUUUGGACACCAUUGGAAACGCUGGCUAUGUCACCAGGGCUGUGACAGGAAAGUCGUAUCUGGGAGAGACAUGCAUAGACUCAGGUCUGACCAGACAGUUCGAAGGAACUGAGGUUGACUUUAUGAAGCACGGAGCCUCUAAAGCCCUUUGGAAAUGUCGGCGCCUCCCUGCUUCCGGAGUCCCCAGCAGCCUCCCCAGGUGAGCAAGGGUCACUUCCUGGCAGGUGGGGGAACCUCAGGGCAUCUUGGGGACCUCGCGAAGAGGAAGUCGCCCAGAGUCACCGGUGUUGCAGGCCUGUCUGACCACAAGCACUUGGCCUCGGGCCGUGAGAGGCAACUGAAAGUUCAACUGAGAUUUCUCAUAAAAAGUUCCAGCAAAGCAAAUUUUAAAAGGUUUACAUGCUCAAUCUACGAUUCGUGCAGAGCUUCCGUAAAUAAUCAGGCCAAGUCUGUUAACAUUGGGCUGCGUCUACAAACAGAUUGGUCUUGAGUUGGCUAUCUCUGGAAAUAACGGUGAUUUGGGAGAGAAAAAUUAGGUUUCGAUAACGCAUCUCUGCAGACGUUAAAUUCUCCUUCUGGUUGUUGUUUGCCGGAGCUGGACACUGGGGUAAACGUCAGAGAAACUGCCCGAACGCUCACGCGCAGGCGGUCUGUGGGCCAUUCACAAGGACACCCGAGAUGCUCGCCUUACAAACCGGACACGUCCGUGUGGUUCCUGCCGGUUCCCACGCCAAGCCUGACAUCUGUAAAUCUCACGGCACACACAAGACUCAGACACUGGGGUACACUGUGCUCUAGCCAUUAAGGUAUAUAUUUUUUUGUUGCCAUAAAAGUGCCUCUUACCAAUUACCUGAUUGCUUACUGAAGAAAACAGUCUACAGGCCGAUUACCACCACCUACCACACAUUUAAGGCCUUAAACCCUCUCCCAAACCUGGGAGACUCGAAGUCUCCAGCCUGGUCCAAGGGCUGUGGGACCUGCCGCGUGCCGGGGCCCACAGAUCUACGCGCCCCAAUAUCCGGGUCAAGUCCUGGCUUCAUUCCUCACCCCACUGUCUUGGGCCCUUAUCGGUAAAACCGGGUGAUCACAGGCCACAAGGCUGUGGUGAGCAAUAAACAAGGCAAAGUCGCAAAGCACGUGGUAA